AACGAACGCUGGCGGCAUGCCUAACACAUGCAAGUCGAACGAGACCUUCGGGUCUAGUGGCGCACGGGUGCGUAACGCGUGGGAACCUGCCCUUAGGUUCGGAAUAACUCCCCGAAAGGGGUGCUAAUACCGGAUAAUGUCUUCGGACCAAAGAUUUAUCGCCUUUGGAUGGGCCCGCGUUGGAUUAGCUAGUUGGUAGGGUAAAAGCCUACCAAGGCGACGAUCCAUAGCUGGUCUGAGAGGAUGAUCAGCCACACUGGGACUGAGACACGGCCCAGACUCCUACGGGAGGCAGCAGUGGGGAAUAGUGGAAAAUGGGCGAAAGCCUGAUCCAGCAAUGACGCGUGAGUGAUGAAGGCCUUAGGGUUGUAAAGCUCUUUUACCCGGGAUGAUAAUGACAGUACCGGGAGAAUAAGCUCCGGCUAACUCCGUG
rnacentral:rRNA from 1 species